rnacentral:snRNA from 1 species
UAUCUAUUUACAAUUUACAAAA